GCGGGUGUAGUUCAGUGGUAGAACGUCAGCUUCCCAAGCUGAAUGUCGUGGGUUCGAUCCCCAUCGCCCGCUCCA
rnacentral:tRNA from 2 species